GCUUUUUGUAGAACGAGCCAACGAGUUACGGUAUGUAGCAAGGUUAAGUACUUAAGGUACGGAGCCGAAGGGAAACCGAGUCUGAAUAGGGCGACUAGUUGCAUGCCGUAGACCCGAAACCGGGUGACCUAUCCAUGGCCAGGUUGAAGCGAGGGUAAAACCUCGUGGAGGACCGAACCACGUUGCUGUUGAAAAAGCAUGGGAUGAGCUGUGGAUAGCGGAGAAAUUCCAAUCGAACCCGGAGAUAGCUGGUUCUCUCCGAAAUAGCUUUAGGGCUAGCGUCGAGUAUGAGUAGUGGAGGUAGAGCACUGAAUGGGCUAGGGGGCAUAGCGCUUACCGAACCUUAUCAAACUCCGAAUGCCACAUACUUUGAGCUCGGCAGUCAGACUACGAAUGAUAAGAUCCGUGGUCAAAAGGGAAACAGCCCAGAUCGUCAGCUAAGGUCCCAAAGUGUAAGUUAAGUGGGAAAGGAUGUGAGAUUUCUAAGACAACUAGGAUGUUGGCUUAGAAGCAGCCAUUCAUUAAAAGAGUGCGUAAUAGCUCACUAGUCGAGAGAUCUUGCGCCGAAAAUGUAACGGGGCUAAACUUACC
rnacentral:rRNA from 1 species